GGUCGGAAACACGGACGGUCAGAGCAGUGACGACCUUUGCCUACCCCAUCGUGAAUUAUAUCUGCGAAAAUGCAUAUCUAUGCGUUGAGAAGGUUGGAGAAGAGGUACCACAGCUCAUGGAGUGCAUGAUCG